GGCCGAAUGGUUCUUAUCUGCCGUCACAUUCUAUGUUUCUAUGUUAUAGCUACUAUUUCAGCUGGGUUGGUUACCCUUACAGAUCAUUUGUGAGUUACACCCUUUCCAUACAUAUUUAUCAACAUAGAAACAUAGAAUGUGACGGCAGAUAAGAACCAUUCGGCC